rnacentral:rRNA from 1 species
AGUGAACGCUGGCGGUAGGCCUAACACAUGCAAGUCGAACGGCCUCUCCGUAAUUGCUUGCUCUUACGGGUGGCGAGUGGCGGAACGGUGCGGAAUGCAUCGGAAUCUACUUUUUCACUUGGGCUAACAUAGGGAACCUUACGCUAGUACCGGAUACAACCUCCUUGUGGCAGCAGGGGAUCUUCAGACCUUGCGCUAUUGGAGGGGCCCAUGUCGGCUUCGCUAGUUAGCGGGGUAAAGGCGCACCAAGGCGACGCUCCGUAGCUGGGCCGAGAGGAUGACCAGACACACUGGGACUGGGACGCGGCCCAGAAUCCUACGGGAGGCAGCAGUGGGGAAUCUUGCGCAAUGGGCGAAAGCCUGACGCAGCCAUGCCGCGUGAAUGAUGAAGGUCUUAGGAUUGUAAAAUUCUUUCACCGGGGACGAUACUGACGGUACCCGGAGAAGAAGCCCCGGCUAACUUCGUG